rnacentral:lncRNA from 1 species
AUAAUCAUAAUCUGCAUCAAAUCACCAUAACUAGCCCAGGUUGUGAACCCAGAGCUCAGGAUGCUUUGCACAAAUAUAUUCUGUGAAACUAAACGCCUCCACAGGACUUUACCUACUCAUCAUUGCUCAGGAAAACAGUAAGAUAUGUUGUUUUGGCUUCAUAUUUGAUUCACAAGGUAAAAGAAAACUAUCUGACAAUCUCACAUCCUCUAUACUUGAUCACAGAAGAAAACAACACUUUUAUCUCCCUACAUUCUUAUCCGACAAACUGAUUUCAAUUAACCCCCGCACCUCACUUUUGCAACCUAUGUGCUACUCAUUUUCCAUGUACACUACAUACAUGCAGUCAUGAUUCCUCCGCCACGGGCUCCUCCGAACUUGCUUUGCCCGGGAGCAGCGCGGCUGGGGCUUGGAUCUGUGCAAUCUCCAGCAAGAUCUUGUUGAGGGACUGCGGCUUAGAGAAGAAGGGGCAGUGGUCGCCGCCCUUUAUCUUGAAGAUGCCAUCCGGCGGGUACUCCCGAACCAACUUCUCCUGGGCGUCAGGUGAGAGCAUAUGGUCGUCAAGCGUCUGGAUGAAGUAGCGGCACACGGUGCUCUGGAGGCUUCCUCGAGCUCAGCCUUGCUAAUGGGACCGCACAUAAAAUCCCGGCAAUCCCUGUUAUUUUCCCCUAAACACCUGCCAUAACCAUCGAAGGUGCUCAAUGUAAGUCGCUCCAGUGAGACCGCACUCUUGACGAUGCAACAUGUUAGCUCAACCAAGGUCUUUGCAGAUCUGAACCCUGUGAUCUCCACACUCUUCAACUUGAGGUGUUCAGGCAGCUGCCUCAAAUGUAAAGCAGAACCUCCUCCAAAGACCGACUCAUGCUCCCGACGAUCUUGAUGUACCUGAAGACGUACGAAAUAAACCAGGAAACUGAAUCAAUGGACGCGUCCAAUUGAGGACCAAGAUACUGUACAUCUUAGUAAUUUGCAGGAAUCAGAGGAUGGAUAGGGCGGCCCUACAUUCAGGCACCAAGUCUCCAAGGAAGGAGAUGCAUCCAAGAAAGAAACCAGAGAAAAGUAAUCGUAGGGUUGGGAAAUGGUCCCUCCACAGAUCUGAAUGAACAGGUACUUGAGGUUGAGGAAUUUGGUGGGCAGCAUUGGUGGCGUAUGAACCUGCAUGCACAACAAAAUGUCAUGUUCAGAUUAACUAUACAAACCAGCACAUACAGCAAGGUAUAUAUGACUAAUGUCUGUCUUAUGGAUCAAUCAAUCGCUACUCUGCAGUAAAUACCUCAGAGGUCGAACAUAAAUAAAGAGACUCAAGAUUUGGCAUGAUGGACGGGAGCUCAGCAAGGGCAUAGCUAACGGCGUUCCUACGGCACAAGGUAAAGACCUUCAUCGUCUUUUGUCCUCCAAGAGAGAGUUUUUUAACUUUUUCUACUCCUCCAAGGAAAAAUCUGGAGAGAUUUGGUGCGUUAUUCUCUACAACUUGCAGAUUCUCAAGCCCACGAACCUCCAGGUAGCUGAGCUGCUGCAGGACGGAUGGUAUCUUAAGCAAAACUAUCUCCUUGCAACGAUCAAUGUCCAAGUGCUCCAAAGCAAGGGAGUUGGAAAGAAGGCACUCCAAUUCCUCCCCUGUGAUACGCACGUAACAUAGGCUCAGUCUUGUUAGGCUUCUCAAAAGGCCAAGUUCAGACUUGGGACGGAAGGUGCAAAAGAUAAGUUGAAGAGACCGAACUGAAUCUCUAACCCCAUCAGAUAAAACUGAGCAUGGGAAGUUGUACUCUUCACACAGCCAAAGUGUGAGCUCUUCAAUCCCUGGUGUGACAGCAGCUUGGAGCCAACUGUCCAGGUAAGGAAAGUAACUCUUUCUAAGCCAUAAGUUAAGCUUCAAUAUCUUGAGGCCAAUGCCUGAGUGGUUCCUCAGAAUACUGUCAACUCUACACCUGAAAUGCCUUUCAUCUGUCUUCUUGGAGCAAAGCGUACCCGGAUCCAGAUCGAGCCUGGGAUAACAUCUCCAGGAAUUCAGAAAGGUGCGAGAAAGACAGGCAGCACGAGCUGCGGCGUCCAUUGGCAUCAAAGAAUGUAUGUGGCGCCAGAUGUCCUGCACGCACAAGCAUAUAGUAUAGGAUAAAGUUUCAACUUUAUUAGAGCCAGCCAAACAGUAGAACAUCGUCUCGCAUGAUUGAUUGCAACAUGAAACUAAGAUUUCAAUCUGCUCAGAAUCGUUUGCUGCCAUACCUCAGGAAGGUAGGGGAUCCAUGUUUCUUCAUGUCGGGAAUCGCCGUCACCAUCUCAUUGACAGGAUGCUCGAGGCUCACUCCGGUCUAGGGUUUGCUCGCACUGCAUCCCCAUGGUGCUCUGCUGACAGUACGAGUAGACGACGAUGCGUCGGUUCUGCCGUUUCACCUCCGGCCUUGAGAUCUCGGCUCCUCCGUCCUGUAGAUAUGCGCGGCGCUCCGUUUUGAACUCAACAUGGAUUGGAAUGCGACAAGGCGUCGCGUCCGCGCUGGCGCCGCCUCGCCGCAGCUCGACUCUGCUACGGAACGGAACGGAGGACUUAGCUCCAAAAUUUUCUGUUGCAACUUGUGCCCCAUGGGCUGAAAGGCAUCAUGUGCCCAUGGCCUGCAAAGAACCAAUAGCCCACAUAGCCCAUCUUAGCCCAUUUCACUCUUUCUAAAAGAAAAAAAAGGGCCCUUCUUACCUCAUCCAAGAAACCAGCCCGUUUGGAACUGAACAGUAGUGAGAUUUGAGCCAUGUUGGAUAUAAUCAUAAUCUGCAUCAAAUCACCAUAACUAGCCCAGGUUGUGAACCCAGAGCUCAGGAUGCUUUGCACAAAUAUAUUCUGUGAAACUAAACGCCUCCACAGGACUUUACCUACUCAUCAUUGCUCAGGAAAACAGUAAGAUAUGUUGUUUUGGCUUCAUAUUUGAUUCACAAGGUAAAAGAAAACUAUCUGACAAUCUCACAUCCUCUAUACUUGAUCACAGAAGAAAACAACACUUUUAUCUCCCUACAUUCUUAUCCGACAAACUGAUUUC